rnacentral:rRNA from 1 species
CAAGAGCGUAUGUAAAAGUUGUUGCAGUUAAAAAGCUCGUAGUUGAACCUUGGGUUUGGUUGGCCGGUCCGCUUUUUUGCGAGUACUGGAUUCAACCGAGCCUUUCCUUCUGGCUAACCAGUCGUUUCGGCGGCUGGCGAACCAGGAUUUUUACUUUGAGAAAAUUAGAGUGUUCAAAGCAGGCAUUAGCUUGAAUAUAUUAGCAUGGAAUAAUAGAAUAGGGCGUUAUGGUUCUAUUUUGUUGGUUUCUAGGACCAUCGUAAUGAUUAAUAGGGACGGUCGGGGGCAUCAGUAUUCAGUUGUCAGAGGUGAAAUUCUUGGAUUUACUGAAGACUAACUACUGCGAAAGCAUUUGCCAAGGACGUUUUCAUUAA